GAGGGGAAAGAUAUAUAAAGUUUUGAAAAUUUUAUUUGGCUAUAGCCUCUUUUUA
rnacentral:tRNA from 1 species